CCUACGGGUGGCAGCAGUGGGGAAUAUUGCACAAUGGGCGCAAGCCUGAUGCAGCCAUGCCGCGUGUGUGAAGAAGGCCUUCGGGUUGUAAAGCACUUUCAGCGGGGAGGAAGGCGAUAAGGUUAAUAACCUUGUCGAUUGACGUUUCCCGCAGAAGAAGCACCGGCUAACUCCGUGCCAGCAGCCGCGGUAAUACGGAGGGUGCAAGCGAUAAUCGGAAUUACUGGGCGUAAAGCGCACGCAGGCGGUCUGUCAAGUCGGAUGUGAAAUCCCCGGGCUCAACCUGGGAACUGCAUUCGAAACUGGCAGGCUAGAGUCUUGUAGAGGGGGGUAGAAUUCCAGGUGUAGCGGUGAAAUGCGUAGAGAUCUGGAGGAAUACCGGUGGCGAAGGCGGCCCCCUGGACAAAGACUGAUGCUCAGGUGCGAAAGCGUGGGGAGCAAACAGGAUUAGAUACCCUUGUAGUC
rnacentral:rRNA from 1 species